rnacentral:lncRNA from 1 species
AUUACUCUUUAAGAAAAAGUUUGUUGAUCUCUGAGCUGUUCUAUCCUUACUGUCAUAGAACCUGAGGUCUUUGAUAAGUGCCCUUAUAUGGCAACUUUCUGUUUUCUACACAGACAAGAGAUGUUCACAGUAGCCAGCCUCCAAGGUGGCCCCAACGAUCCCCACCUCUUGGCAUUCACACCCUUGUGCAGUUCCUUCCCACGCUGACUUGUACAACCAAUGCAGAAGUGAUGGAGUGUGACUUCCAAGCCUAGGUCAUAAAAGAUACUGUGGCUUCCAUCUCCCUCUCUCUGAGAUCACUCACUCUGGGGGAAGCCAGCUCCCACGUUCUGGGAACACUCAAGAAGCCCCAUGUAGAAGCCCACGUGGUGAUAAAUCGAGGUCUCUUACCACCAGUUACGAUCCGAACCCGCAAAUACCCGCUGGGACAUCGAAGCAGAGCACAAGAACUUAACCACUCGGCCAUGGGGCUGGCCCCCUUGGCCAACAUCUUGACUUCAACAUCACUGAGCCCAAAUCAUUCAGUUAAGCUGCUCUUGAAUUCCUG